GUUGGUCUCUCCUCUUCCUCCUCUGCUCUUCUUCCUCUGCUCUUCCAUGAGGAAGAACUACUCAUCCAGUCUGGAGCCGGUUUGGGGGAAAAUGCUUUUUCUUCAGGCGAUACUGAAACGAAGGCUGCUGCAGAAAGCUCAUUGAAAGCGUGUGCAUGUGGCGCUCCCACGGCUGCAUCUGCCUGUGUUUGGAGGAGAGAGAUGUGCAGUUUCCCCCUUUCCCUCUUCUGCUGAUUUAUUUAUGAAUUUGGGGAUCUAAUACUUUGAAGUGAGGCCUGGAG